UACGGAGGAUGCAAGCGUUAUCCGGAAUCAUUGGGCGUAAAGCGCGCGUAGGCGGCCCGGUAAGUCCGCUGUGAAAGUCCAGGGCUCAACCCUGGAAAGCCGGUGGAUACUGCCGGGCUAGAGUCCGGGAGAGGCGAGUGGAAUUCCUGGUGUAGCGGUGGAAUGCGCAGAGUAUCAGGAGGAACACCGAUGCGAAGGCAGCUCGCUGGGACGUUACUGACGCUGAGACGCGAAAGCGUGGGGAGCAAACAGG
rnacentral:rRNA from 1 species